UACGUAGGGCGCAAGCGUUGUCCGGAAUUAUUGGGCGUAAAGAGCUCGUAGGCGGCUUGUCACGUCGGGUGUGAAAGCCCGGGGCUUAACCCCGGGUCUGCAUUCGAUACGGGCUGGCUAGAGUGUGGUAGGGAGAUCGAAUUCCUGGUGUAGCGGUGAAAUGCGCAGAUAUCAGAGGAACACCGGUGGCGAAGGCGGAUCUCUGGGCCAUUACUGACGCUGAGGAGCGAAAGCGUGGGGAGCGAACAGG
rnacentral:rRNA from 1 species